rnacentral:rRNA from 1 species
ACAUGCAAGUCGAGCGGGCGAGGUUGCUUCGGUAACUGAGCUAGCGGCGGACGGGUGAGUAAAGCUUAGGAAUCUGCCUAUUAGUGGGGGACAACAUUCCGAAAGGGAUGCUAAUACCGCAUACGUCCUACGGGAGAAAGCAGGGGAUCACUUGUGACCUUGCGCUAAUAGAUGAGCCUAAGUCGGAUUAGCUAGUUGGUGGGGUAAAGGCCUACCAAGGCGACGAUCUGUAGCGGGUCUGAGAGGAUGAUCCGCCACACUGGGACUGAGACACGGCCCAGACUCCUACGGGAGGCAGCAGUGGGGAAUAUUGGACAAUGGGGGGAACCCUGAUCCAGCCAUGCCGCGUGUGUGAAGAAGGCCUUUUGGUUGUAAAGCACUUUAAGCGAGGAGGAGGCUUACCUGGUUAAUACCUGGGAUAAGUGGACGUUACUCGCAGAAUAAGCACCGGCUAACUCUGUGCCAGCAGCCGCGGUAAUACAGAGGGUGCGAGCGUUAAUCGGAUUUACUGGGCGUAAAGCGCGCGUAGGUGGUUAAUUAAGUCAAAUGUGAAAUCCCCGAGCUUAACUUGGGAAUUGCAUUCGAUACUGGUUAGCUAGAGUAUGGGAGAGGAUGGUAGAAUUCCAGGUGUAGCGGUGAAAUGCGUAGAGAUCUGGAGGAAUACCGAUGGCGAAGGCAGCCAUCUGGCCUAAUACUGACACUGAGGUGCGAAAGCAUGGGGAGCAAACAGGAUUAGAUACCCUGGUAGUCCAUGCCGUAAACGAUGUCUACUAGCCGUUGGGGGAUUUGAUCCUUUAGUGGCGCAGCUAACGCGAUAAGUAGACCGCCUGGGGAGUACGGUCGCCAGACUAAAACUCAAAUGAAUUGACGGGGGUCCGCACAAGCUUUGAAGCAUGUGGUU